CCUACGGGAGGCAGCAGUGAGGAAUAUUGGUCAAUGGACGAGAGUCUGAACCAGCCAAGUAGCGUGAAGGAUGACUGCCCUAUGGGUUGUAAACUUCUUUUAUAUGGGAAUAAAAUGUUCCACGUGUGGGAUUUUGUAUGUACCAUAUGAAUAAGGAUCGGCUAACUCCGUGCCAGCAGCCGCGGUAAUACGGAGGAUCCGAGCGUUAUCCGGAUUUAUUUGGUUUAAAGGGAGCGUAGGUGGAUUGUUAAGUAAGUUGUGAAAGUUUGCGGCUCAACCGUAAAAGUGCAGUUGAAACUGGCAGUCUUGAGUACAGUAGAGGUGGGCGGAAUUCGUGGUGUAGCGGUGAAAUGCUUAGAUAUCACGAAGAACUCCGAUUGCGAAGGCAGCUCACUGGACUGCAACUGACACUGAGGCUCGAAAGUGUGGGUAUCAAACAGGAUUAGAUACCCUGGUAGUC
rnacentral:rRNA from 1 species